rnacentral:pre_miRNA from 1 species
AAUCAUAGAAUAGCUUCAAUUCCGUAGUGCAUUGCAGUGUGCUUUAGACGAACUGCAAGCAAUGUGGAAGUGAAGCGAUUCUCAAUGAUCAUCAA